CCCAGCCUGUGCCCGCCUCAGGGGCAGCCUAGCACAGUGCCAGGGACACGGGAAUAAACAGAUGCCAAAUAUGGCUGGAUCGUCACAUUAGCACAAGCCCAGCUCUGCGCAAAACACGCCCAUGAAGUGCUCUGGGGCACUGGCUCUUAAUCUUUCCAGACUUCGCUAGGCCUCUUAGGAAUCGGAUUCGUCUUGUGUACCUGAAGUUUUACCUCAUGUAAAAACUACUUGCUUACAAGCUUGCACAAAAAAUAAAAACGUGUCACAAAUACCCUAUUAGUAAAAAAAGUGCUUAAUUUCUUUUUACCAUAUAAUUUUAAAAUCAAUCAAUUGGAAUAUAUAUUUACAAUUACAUUUCAGUGUACAGUAUAGCACAGUACAAACAACUCGUGUGACAUUUUUAGUUUGUUUUGACUUUGCUAGUGCUGUGCUGUUUAUGUAACCUGUUGUAAAACUAGGCAAAUAUCUAGAUGAGUUGAUUUACUCCCAUACCCCUGGUUGAGAACCACUGUUCUGGGGGAAGGCAGCUGCAGCACUUACAGGAACACAGGAUGUCUGUCAGGUGCCAUCAUCCCAGGAAUGAAUUGCUAACGAUUUCCCAGUACUGAGCAUCUUCCUUUGCUAGUUGUAAGUUUCACAGAACUAGAAGAGAAGAAGUGCCCAUUAACACUGCCUCCCUAUUAUUUCUCUCUUAAACUGCAAAGGGCCCAUGGGGAAAUGCAAGAGCGCAGUGUAUUUAAAUAAUUUUGUUCUGGGGUUCUUAGAUCUGGUAAUGACAUCCUAUAGUUCAACAAGGUAAAUAUUUUUCUUUUUUAAUACAUUUUUUCUUUAUUCUUUGACCUCAAGAAACAAUCAGAAAAAUGCCAGAAUAGGCCCAAGCAGCUCUCAUUGCAAAUUGCACACUUGAACAAUAUAAAAUGAGAAAUCUGGAGAAUUUAGAUUUUAUUUUUAAUGAGCAAGAGAAAUAUUUAAAGAUAUGUUUAAUGUCUAGAUUUCAAUUAUAUAUCAUAAGAAACAAAGAAGUUACUCACUUUCUGCAGUAACAAUGGUUCUUUGAGAUGUGUCCCCCCACUGAAUCCUUCCACAAUAAAAAGAAAAAUCUUGGGAGACUUCCUAAAAGCCUUCGUCCUAUCCAGGUAAAAGGCCAGGACUCUCCUAACAUAUCAUGUCUCUAGUAUAGUCUCCCUUUUAUCACAGUGAGGCUUAGGGUAAAAAGUUGGAAGGUGGAUCAGUUGGUUCAUGUGAAAAGGGGAGGUCACCUUGGGGGUAAACUUCAGCUGCAGUUUGUGUGUGACCUUGCCCCAAAAGAAUACUGUGUAGAGGGGAUGCGUGCCAUCAGAGCUAUUAUUUCCCCUAUUCUCCUAGCCAAGGUGAUCGCCACCAGGAAGGCAGUUUUCAUUUUCAGGUAUGUAAACCAUGGGUUUGAAGGGAGGUCUAGUCAGGUUUUUCAACACUAGGUUUAGAUCCCAUCUAGGGGUGGGAUGUCAGGGUUGUAGGAAAAGGUUUACUAUACCUUGAGGAAUCAUUUUGUGGUUGGAUGUGAUAGCACUGAGUAUCCCUCUACAUGUCGAUAGAAGGCUCCGAUAGCCACUAGGUGGACCUUGAGUGAACUGAGAGAUAAUCCCGAUUUUUUAAGAGUCAGUACACAGUCUAGGAUCUUUGGAAGAGUAGUGAGUGGCGGAGAAAUUUGUUGGGAAUUACACCAAGCCUGAAACCAGGGCCACUUUUGCAGGUACGUACAGCGUGUUGUGGCUUUUCUAAUGUGUAGUAAUACCUCUUGUACCUCCCCUGAGCAGGAGCUUUCUAUGCGUUGGAACCAUGAGGAGUCAAGUCUUGAGGCGGAAAAUCCCGAGGUUGAGAUGCAGAGUGUGUCCUUCAUUCUGCGAGAGGAGGUAUGGAGUGGAUUGAAGACAGAUUGACAGGCAUGUCUCAAGUUGUGACAGGUAAGACUACCAAGUCUGUCUUGGCCAGGUGGAAGCAAUUAGUAUGAUGUGUGCUCCUUCUCUUUUUAUUUUGAAUAGGACUUUUAACAGUAGGGGAAACAAGGGAAAGGCAUAGAGAAGGUCCUUGUCCCAUAGAAGAAAGAGAGCGUUGCCCAGAGAGUGCUGUCCUAUCCCUGCUCUGCAGCAGUAGCAUGGCCAUUUCCUGUUCAGGACUCUCGUGUGUGUUCCCUUGACCAGUGAGAGGAAAUGGAUCCAGGCAUUCCUGACUACCCUGAGCUCAAGGAUACUGUCUCGCAUGACCUUCUGAUAACAAACUAGGAAAAUGCAACCUAGGUGGAGCUACUAUAAGCUACCUGAUUCUGGACAGUCCCAUAGCACAUGCAUCAGGGUACCUUUUUCUUUGUUACAAGACCAACAAACUUCAGAGGAUAAGGCUUUGCUCUUGUUCAACCGCUGUGGCAUCCAAUGCAUUUUGAAUAAAAUCUUUUUGUGUAUCAAGCAGAACCUGAGAUCCACAGAAGCAUUUUUAACAUUACAUAAUAUAGUCUGCCACUGGCAUUCUUUUAAGGGCUGUGAUAAAUCCCCUUCCCAGACUUUCACAAAACUUCAGACGGGGUGGGCAAACUUUUUAGCCCAAGGGCCACAUCUGGAUAUAGAAAUUGUAUGGCGGGCCAUGAAUAGUCACAAAAUUGGGGUUGGGGAGCGGGAAGGGGUGAGGGUGCUGGCCAAAAAGGUUCUGGCCAGGCCCCUGUUAGCCCAGCUCCAAUUAAGGGGUAUUAAUUGGUACUGGCUCGGUGUGGCUCUCCAAAGGGCUUAAGGAAAAACACCUCCGGGCCUUGUUAGCCAGGAGGCUAUAUAAAGCUGGCAGGAAGGAAGCAGAGUGGGGGACAGGAAAGGGGGGAGCCUGUGGCUGUAGUUCCCAGCUGGCUAAAGAAGCUAGCUGUCCUCCAGGGAGCUGGCUGGAUGGACUGUAUAUAAACGUUGGUGGGAACUGACACAAAGAAUAAAAGGACACUGGUGCUUGCAUAUUAAGUGGUCUCCAACUGAUUUUUGGA